rnacentral:rRNA from 1 species
AGUGAACGCUGGCGGUAGGCCUAACACAUGCAAGUCGAACGGCAGCACAGUAAGAGCUUGCUCUUACGGGUGGCGAGUGGCGGACGGGUGAGGAAUACAUCGGAAUCUACUUUUUCGUGGGGGAUAACGUAGGGAAACUUACGCUAAUACCGCAUACGACCUACGGGUGAAAGCAGGGGAUCUUCGGACCUUGCGCGAUUGAAUGAGCCGAUGUCGGAUUAGCUAGUUGGCGGGGUAAAGGCCCACCAAGGCGACGAUCCGUAGCUGGUCUGAGAGGAUGAUCAGCCACAAUGGAAAUGAGACACGGUCCAGACUCCUACGGGAGGCAGCAGUGGGGAAUAUUGGACAAUGGGCGCAAGCCUGAUCCAGCCAUACCGCGUGGGUGAAGAAGGCCUUCGGGUUGUAAAGCCCUUUUGUUGGGAAAGAAAAGCAGCAGGUUAAUACCCCGCUGUUCUGACGGUACCCAAAGAAUAAGCACCGGCUAACUUCGU